rnacentral:rRNA from 1 species
UACGAAGGGGGCUAGCGUUGUUCGGAAUUACUGGGCGUAAAGCGCACGUAGGCGGGUAUUUAAGUCAGGGGUGAAAUCCCAGAGCUCAACUCUGGAACUGCCUUUGAUACUGGGUACCUAGAGUGUGGAAGAGGUGAGUGGAAUUCCGAGUGUAGAGGUGAAAUUCGUAGAUAUUCGGAGGAACGCCAGUGGCGAAGGCGGCUCACUGGUCCACUACUGACGCUGAGGUGCGAAAGCGUGGGGAGCAAACAGG